GAGCAGACGCGAGUACUCGCGCUCAAAACCGGCCAGUUGUAAAAGCCCUGCUGUAGUUGUAUAUAUAAGUUUGGAUGUAGCUGUAUUGCAUUGAUGUACUGGUGGAUAUUGUGUGAAGGGAUGGAAGUGCAUGGACAUGGGCUUGUGUCUGCAACAACUGUUACUGAUGGUGUACCUGCAGCUGGACAUGUCACAGCGUAAACCGUCUACGAUGAGGAUGAUGUACCCGCAACCACACAUGUGGCUGUGCUGCCCAUCUAUGACAAUGACGAUAUAUCAGUGGUUUGACUAUCACCACCCAGCCUGUCUAUGAUGACAAUGAUGUUUCCAUGGCAGCAGACGUGACACAGCCUGGACCAUCUAUGACAAGAAUGAUGUACCCAUGGCUAGAUGUGUUGCAGCCCAGCCCAUCUACAAUGAUGCUGCAUCUGCCAACAUCACAGCCCAGCCUGUCAUCGACACAAUGGCACGGCAUUACAACUUCAGCCCACUUGCCAUGGUCUAGGCCACACUUGCUUAUCAGGUUGAGUGCUAGUAUGACACCAGUCACAACAAAGUCGAAUCUUUUAUCAGGGAUAAUCCUGAGAGGUGGUUGCCAUCUGAGUUCACAAAACUCGCAUGGAAGGUUGAUGGGAUUUAUCAAAAAAGCGUCCCUAUGACCUACUCGCUUUAGAAUGGUGCUGUGGGGAUACCACAAGAAAGCCACCUCUCUGGCCAUUGACUGCAUUCCUUCCAAGUGUAUCUUUGUAAGGUGGACUCAGUUCACUAAAUGACUGCCAAGCAGUGUGACAUGUCUUUU